AGUGAACGCUGGCGGCAUGCUUUACACAUGCAAGUCGAACGGUAACACGCCUCCGGGUGCCGAUGAGCGGCGGACGGGUGAGUAAUGCAGCGGAACGUACCCAGAGCUGGGGGUUAACGCAGCGUAAGGUGUGCUAAUAUACCAUGUGAUCGGAGGUUGAAAGCGGGGGACCAGGCAGCAACGUUUGGCCUCGCGCCUUUGGAUCGGCCGAUGUCAGAUUAGGUAGUUGGUGGGGUAAAGGCCUACCAAGCCGACGAUCGGUAGCUGGUCUGAGAGGACGACCAGCCACACUGGGACUGAGACACGGCCCAGACUCCUACGGGAGGCAGCAGUGGGGAAUAUUGCACAAUGGGCGGAAGCCUGAUGCAGCAACGCCGCGUGCGGGAUGACGGCCUUCGGGUUGUAAACCGCUUUCGCCUGUGACGAAGCGUGAGUGACGGUAAUGGGUAAAGAAGCACCGGCUAACUACGUG
rnacentral:rRNA from 1 species